rnacentral:pre_miRNA from 1 species
AGGAGAAACAACCCCCGUGGCCGCAGCUCUGGAGCCCUGGAGUCAGCUCCCGCAGCAACUACUGAGCUCUCGUCUGCAGGGCCUGGAGGCUCCGGGGCGGG